CAUAACUACAUAUUUAUAUAUGUUUAUAACAUUUUUUAGUCUUAACUGAAUUGCAAGUAUUUACUUUGAAUUGAGUACAUUAUAUUCUAUUGUAGUACUAUAAAUGUUGUCAAGAUUAUUACUGAAAUACAGUAUCUUAUUAAUUUAAAAGCUCACACAUAUGGAUUUGAGGUUAACUGAUGACAUUACAGAAUAUUUACUGAAUAUAGAAGAGUUCUUUUUUGUUUUGUUUUGUUUUAGUUUUUUGGAAUCAGAGUCUUAUAUCUCACUCUGUCCCCCAGGCCAGAGUAAGUGGCAUUGUGGCGUGAUCCUGGAUCACUCAAGAGAUCCUCACACCUCAGCCUCCUGAGUAGCUGGGGCCACAGACACGCACCACCACAUCUGGUUAAUUUUUCUACAUUUGUAGAGAUGAGAUUUCACCAUGUUACUCAGGCUGAUCUCGAAAUCCUGGCCUCGAGUGAUCCACCCUGCCUUGACCUCCAAAACUGCUGGGAUUAUAGGCAUGACCUGCUGCGCCCAGCCCAAACGCUUGAGGGGGUACUUCAAUCAAGUAGAACCUAUUGAAGUGUGAAUAGGAUGAGCAGGGAAAGUUGAAGUGUCAUCAGGAGAAAUAAGUUGGCUGUCGACCAAGAAGUGUCACAGGACAACUUUAGCAAAAAUGUCUCCAGUUUCAUAAGAAGAGUUGGGGCAGAAAUGAGCUUUUACCAGCACACUGGAAAUUAAUCUGUUUCUCAGGGAUAACUUACAGAGCCCCCAGAUGCCAGUGAGUUCAAAUGUCAAUGUAUUAUUUUGCAAUGAGAAGGCAACUUACUCUUCUCAUCUGAAUAAUAUAUUUUCUCCACAGAGGAUGGAUUUCCUUUAGAUGUCGACACAUUUUUCAAUAAUUGAUUGAUAGUCAUAAAAUCUAAAUAAGGAGAAAAUUUUAAUAAUAAAUCCUGAUAGUCUGAUGAAUGAAUAUUCUCAGUAGAAAUAUUCCUGCCUCCAGAAUGAGGAAAGCCGUAUAUCUCAUAUAUCUUCACAUCUGGCUACAGAAAACUGACAGUGAUAUUAUUUGCUUCUCCAACCUCUUUUUUUUCCUCUCUUUCUUUGUAUUACUGACUAGUUAUUUUAACUGAUCUAUUUCACAAGAGUAUCUGGGAGUAUUAAUAAAACUAUCUUUAUAAACUUUAUAAAAUUAACUAUUAACCGGGAAAGAAGGAAGGGGGAGAAACCAAAAUAAACCAAGCUUGUAGCACAUUCAGCAAAUUGAUCAUUAGGUCAGCUUACUCUCUAACUCAGUCCCUCAUAGUUAGUUGUUCAGUGCCUAUUCCCUCAGAAUCAUGCAGACCCUAUCAUAAGAGUAUAGUUCUUCUUAACUGUUCUGUAGAUAACAAUGUGAACUUUAUGAAAUGUUAAGUUUCCCCUUUGAGAGAUUCUUUCACGUCCUGCAUACCAGUGAAACUGCGGAUGUCAGCUGGUCUGAAGGACUCUGUGGAGAACAGCUCGUCUGAAGGACCUCAUUGAUGCCAGCUGGUCUGAAGGACCCCAGUAGGAGCUGACGGACCAAAUAGUGAACUCUCAAAAUCUUGGUGAUUUCAUCCUCCUUACCCUAACCAAUCAAUGACCUCAAUUUUCCAGCCCCUUUCACUCUAUGAUCCUAUUUUAAAAAUCAUGGCCCAGAAAUCCUUGGGGAAAUGAAUUUGAAGGUCUCUUCCCAUCUCCUCCCUAGGUGUCCUGCAAUCAUUAAACUCUUUCUCUGCUGCAGAUCCUUCUGUCUCAGUGUAUUGGUGUGUCACUGCAUAGCAGGCAUAUAUAUGACCUAUUGGUUCUACAGCAUUAAUAUGCAGUUUUAUCCCAAGAACUUGGAGGAACAGAGACCGGGAAAUAUUGGGUAGAAGAGGGUAGUUCUUUGGCAAAGGCCUCACCCUCAUGCCUGAAGACCCGUGGCCCUACAUGAGAACAGGCAUUUCUGUUUUCACACCCAAAAAGUUGCCUUUUGGCCCACCACACACCCUAUCCUUCCCUAUAUAAACCCUGAAUCUCAAGCUCUAGAUGAGACCCACAAGUGAGGAGAAGAGGAGGCAAGCAGACCAGCAGACCAGUGAACCAGUAGACCAGCAAAUCAAUGACAGUGGAAAGAUGCUGCAGAGAAAGAUAAAAUAGGAAGGAUGUCUGGGAACUGAGGGGAGUUCACCCAUGGGCUGUCGGAAAAGAGUCAGCUGCUGGGUGGCCCAACUCCAAGGGAAGACCACCUUCCCAUUCCUUCACUCCUUCUGGCUCCCCAUCCAUCUCACUGAGGACCACCUGUACCACUCAAUAAGACCCUGCACUCAUCCUUUGAGCCUGAACAUGAUCUGAUUCUUUUGGGACUUUGGGAAAGAGCUUGGGAUCAGAAGGAUAUCACACUGGCACACUGCCCUUGCGAUAAGGCAGGAUCCAUUGAGCUGAUUAAAACACAAGCUGUCUGCAGACAGUAAAGUUAAAAGAGCGCACUUUAACACACUCCCUCUUGGGCUUGAGGAGUCACAGACACCCACCCCUAGAAGCUGCCAGAGGACUGAGAGCCCAAAGCACUCACCCUUGCCUCUGCAUCUGCCUGACUGCAUGCGCCCCCUAGGAGUUUGAGCUGUGGGGCAACCAAACAGAUAAUUUCCCAGCUGGGUGCAAUGACUCACUCCUGUAAUCCCAGCAGUUUGGGAGGCCGAGGCAGGCGGAUCACCUGAGGCCAGGAGUUUGAGACCAGCCUGAUCAACACGGAGAAACCUCGUCUCUACUAGAAAAUACAAAAUUAGCCGCGUGUGUUGGUGCAUGCCUGUAAUCCCAGCUACUCGGGAGGCUGAGGUGGGAGAAUUGCUUGAACCUGGGAGGCAGAGGCUGUGGUUAGCUGAGAUUGUGCCAUUGUACUCCAGCCUGGGCGACAGAGUGAGACUCCAUCUCAAAAAAUAAAUAAAUAAAUAAAUAAAAAUAAAAAGAUAAUUUCCCAUUUGUCCUUUACAGUAUCUAUUGAAAUACAUUUUCUUUGAAAACAAAGUGGCUUGCACUGAUUUUUAUUUUACAUUUUUCUAGAUUAUAAUAAAAUUUAUUGUUCGUAUAAGGAUAUGUGAGAAUAAAACAUAUCUAAAUCUAAUUAAAAUUUAGAAAUGUUUGUUUAUUUAAUGACAUAUUGGACUAAUAGAACGGUAGACAAAAAACAAAGUUUAUUUAUUUCAGGAUUACAAGAAUUCAGAAUAGUAUAAGUAUAUGCAUGUUUUCAUCACCCAUUGUAACAAUGAACAAAUCAUCACAAGUUCUGCCCACUACAUUUAUAGUGACAUUUCCUUUUCUCUUGUUAUUUUGAAGCAACUAUUCCACUCUGUCAUUAUAGUGCAAAAGCAGCCUUAGAUAAUUAACAAAGAGUGCGGCUGUAAGCUUUAUGUCUAAAAACAAAUGAUAUGAAGAAUUUGACUUGUGGCCAUCAUUUGUUCACAAUUUGGUAACUACUGGUUGAGCAAAUAUAAAAUUUGGGCCUUUACAUUACUCUCAUUUAACACCCUGAAAAUGUUACUCCAAGGUUGAGCUUUCAUGUUGCACGUGAGGUAUGAGAUAAGUAAUUUUCCUUUUAGGCGAUCUCUUUUUCUAAGACAUAUUUUGUACAUUUUCCUGUAAUCUUUAAAGCUUUUAAAUUGCAUUUUUGGGUGCUUACUAACUUUUCAUCAUUCAUAACUAUUUUUGAACCCUAUAAACUUUUUCAAGGUGCCAUCUCUAUCAAUCUUUAAUCUUAGGAAAUCAACAUCAUUAUUUAUUCAAAUUUAUUUAUUCUUUAGAUUUUUUUCUCCUCCACCUGAAAGUGCAUGAUCAAGAAUGUUGACAGGUCCACAUAUCACAGUCAUUCCUGUGAAUUGUGUUAAGCAUUUUUAAAUGUUUUCUGAUCAUGCUUUUCUUUUAGGAGAAAUUUUGACUGUCUUUCAGUUCACUGUUAAAAACAUGAUUGCAAAACAAACUCUAUCAAGAAGAUAAAUAGAUCCAGAAAGACAUCAUGGUGUACAAAGAAACUACCUGUCCUUUAGCUAUAGCCAUCCAACUUUAUCAACUGAACAGCAAGUUCUUUGUUUUUCAACCAUUAUAUGUUUAAAACCCAGUAUUUCAAAUGGAUCCCUCUUUUAAUUAUUUAAUAUGGCUUACUAUUCUUGUACACUUAUGAUUUUGAGAAUAUUUGCAAAACUUAGUUAACAUUACUUAUCCCUUUUGUCAAAAACUUCUGCUGUAGUUUCCAUAGGUUACCACACUUGCCAUUAUUUUUUACUUCUGUUUUUUGUUGUUAUUUUAUAUAUAUUGUUGUUAUACAUGUAUUUAUUCUGUGAGUACAUUAUUUUUCUGGAUAAUAUUUUUCUCCACACUCAUAAAACUUGCCUGAUAAUAUGAAGGGGCUGAGCAGGAAGGCUCAGGUUAUGGCUCUCCUCAUUAUUACUAUUUUUUCAUGUGUUGAGUUUUAUACCAAAGAAUAAAGAACCCAUUGCCUCAAUGGAGGGUUUUGGUCAUUAUUGUCUGUAGGAUCAUUCUGUAUGUCAUUUCCCAACCUCAAAGAGGUAACAAUUAAUUCUGUUCUUUUGGACAACCUAUACACUACACUAUGCUACUUGAAGAGUUGUCCUCUGUUUUCAUUUCCUCACUUUUGAGGAAGGGAUGAUGUAUUUUCAGAAAUUUCCUAUUUUCCAGAUUGUGUAGUCAUCUAUAAUUCCACACAGCUAAGUUCCCACUGCCCUAAAGUUUCUCUGUCACCCCCUAAACUGCACUGGGCUGACUAAUAUGUUUUAAUUCUUCACAGUUACAAAUAUAUUAUCCAAAUUAGUGCAGUGGUGGCUUUGUUAAAAUAUUUCCCCCUAUUUUUAUCUUGUCUGAAAUAAGGUAGAAGCUGGUGAUAUGUCAAUCUUAAGUAUUGAAAUUUGAAGCUAUAUAUUAAAAAGUAAUUUUUUAUGGUUUUAAUCACAUUAUAUUUAUUUCACUUACUGGAUUAUUAAAAAUAUAAUAUCAGAAAACAUUAUUAAAACUCAAAUUUUACUACAGCACUUGCAAAUUAGAAGGAAGAGAAAAUCACUUUUAUUUAAUCUUUUCCUGUUAAAGUAUUUAAUAUUCAAUUCUUUUUCUUGUAAAUAUCAGAAUCAUUUUUGUGUAUAGAUUGCUAUACUACAUGCUAUAGCAUUUUUUACAUUCAAGACUAUUUCUUUAAAGCAUAUUGUUUUGAAGUAGAAAACCACAUCAGACUAUGAAUAUUUUAGCAUCUUAUGCCAUAGCAUCCUUCCUUUAGAGAUGGUUACAGACAUUCCACCACAACUUCCUCAAAUUUAAUUUAAAAAAUACCAAUUUAGUUUCUGAAAUGACAUUUUAUUGUUGAUAUUAACCUUCAGUACUAGCAAUGUUAAAGUUUCCCACACUGUCGUAUAUUUCUAUAAAUGUUUUGUGAAUUGUCUCUUCAAACAUUGUGUUCAUUUGUGUGGAUAUCUCAAUUUCAUCACACAAAAUUAAAUAUAAUACAAUGAACAUAUUUAACUUAUCCGGUUCUUCCAAAAUAUUUCAAAAUGUAUUUUUAUGUAUUUUUUACAUUUUUAUAUUGACAAAUUUAUCUUUUAGUAGUUACAAAUCUCUGUUCUUUGUUUGCACAUAUUGUAUUUUAUCAUGAAAACGAUAAAUAUUAUUCCCAUUCAUUUUUAUAAAUAUUCUUAUUAAUAUUCCCAUAGUAUCUGUGUUUUGAUUUCCAAAUAAUGUGUUUUUUUCAAAUGAGAAAAAUGUUUUCUUCUACAUUUUGCAGGUCUAAAUUUAGUUAUUAUAUUCACAAAACUACCCUGUAAAAAUCAGUUUAUUUUUAUGUUGAGUUAUGAUUCAUCCAUUUUUUGUGUAACAACUCUUUAGAGAAAAUAGUUUCUAUUUCUGGACCAUUUCCUUAAUAAUCUGUUUUUCUCUUUAGUAACAAAAUACUUAUAAGCACUGCAGCUAUUUCCAAUGAUUUACUAUCUCAUUAUGUUUCCUUUGUAAAUUCUUCUUUGAGAAUUUUAUCUUGUUCAUCUUACAUGCACACUGAAUAAAUGGGAAAAGAGAUACGGACAUCACUCACUAACAAGAGAAUAGUGUUUAUGUUAUUUAUUAUAUUUCCUUCAUAAAAAAAGCACCUGCAAAAUUCUUGUUUACAUUUGUAUAAUCCUCUGCAUUGUUUUUCAAUAAAUAAUUUCUUAUGCAUCUUGAAUCAAAACAAUAAAAUUUCAACAUUACCAACUUGUCAUCAGUUCUGUCUUUCCAUUUCUAUAUUAUACAUG